ensembl:lncRNA
CCCAGGACAUCUCAGACAAGCCCAGGACAGCUCAGACAAGCCCAGGACAGCUCAGACACGCCCAGGAUAAAUCAGACAUUCCCAGGACAGCUCAGACAGGCCCAGGGCCCAGGACAUGUCAGACAAGCCCAGGACAGCUCAGACAAGCCAAUGAUAGCUCAGACAAGCCCAGGACAGCUCAUACAGACCCAGGACAGCUCAGACAGGCCCAGGACAGCUCAGACAUACCCAGGACAGCUCAGACAGGCCCAGGACAGCUCAGACAGAACCAGGACAGCUCAGACAGGCCCAGGACCAAGGACAGCUAAGACAAGCCCAGGAUAGCUCAGACAGGCCCAGGACAGCUCAGACAGUCACAGGGCCCAGGACAGCUUAAUUAGGCCCAGGACAGCUCAGACAGGCCCAGGACAGCUCAGGAAGGCCCAGGACAGCUCAUACAGGCCCAGGACAGCUCAGACAGGCCCAGGACAGCUCAGACAGUCACAGGGCCCAGGACAGCUUAAUUAGGCCCAGGACAGCUCAGACAGGCCCAGGACAGCUCAGGAAGGCCCAGGACAGCUCAUACAGGCCCAGGACAGCUCAGACAGGC